rnacentral:lncRNA from 1 species
UCUAUCCUCCUUCAAAUAGCUUUGUACUAUUAAAAGUAAUGCAAUUCAAAACCUGUAAAAAGAUUUUAGCGUAGAACAUAGCCUUGCAAGAUGCUGCAGGGUGCUGCAGGAAGUAAAGCUCGCAAGGAAGAAAGGACUUCGAGAUGCUAGGAAAGAAAAAAGAUUUAAAAUUUUGGGUUCUGGAUGUCAAGGAAGAAAGGACUUCGAGAUGCCAGGAAAAAAAAAAAGAUUUAAAAUUUUGGGUUCUGGAUGCUUAAGGUUAAAUAGAGCAGAGAAGAAUACAGAAAGCAGAAAUUAACAGUGCAUGGCCUAGAAGUGUAAAAUAGUGACAGAUCUGGCAUACUGAUUUACUUUUUGAAACAAUUUUGAAACAGUUGUAGAAACUUUUGUGGAAUGUUUUGGCUUUGUUUUCCUGGUAAUAAACAUUUUAAAACUACUCAACAUCCAGCACUGGAGGAGUAUGUACCUUUCCAUUUCACUAGUUUUAUUUUCCUCUAAUAAUCAGGUUUAGUAGCAUCCUUCCACUGCCCCCAAAAUCUAAAAAACAUAAAAAUCACUGAGUACUAAAAAAGAACUCUUUGGCUUCUCUGGAUCUAUAUUGGCUGACGAUUUGCUUUCUGCUUUCUAGCCUGUUUAAUCUACAACCCAAACCCCCAUGGCAGUGAACAACCCAUGUGUGCCACAAUGGGGUACGUGAAAAGGAACCCCUCACUCUGGACCCAUGGACCCAUCCCCAGCUGCUGCAAUGGGGGGAUCAGCUGGGGCUCCACCAUGGCAAGGGGCUCUUCUCAUCUCUCCCACCAUGCAAAAGAGACCAAAGCAAUCACACAUUUCAGGGAUAUCUACACAGCUGCCUUUGGUCCUUACAAGUCCUGAAGGCACUUGUAAGCCAUCACCCACGGGUACACCUGCAGCCAAAGCAGCCGGACCAGCACCGUGACGCUUGUCUUCGCUUCAUAGCAAGCCUUCAAAAAGACCUGAAAGCCUGUGGAGAUGUUUGGGUAUGAAUAUAAAUAAAGCAGUACUGUACAAAUCGCA